UGUUCUGUCUGUUCUGUUCCAGGUGACAGUGUCUGUUCUGUUCCAGGUGUUAGUGUCUGUACUGUUCCAGGUGAUAGUGUCUGUUCUGUCUGUUCUGUUCCAGGUGAUAGUGUCUGUUCUGUCUGUCCUGUUCCAGGUGAUAGUGUCUGUUCUGUUCCAGGUGAUAGUGUCUGUCCUGUUCCAGGUGAUAGUGUCUGUUCUGUUCCAGGUGAUAGUGUCU